AGAGUUCGAUUAUGGCUCAGGACGAACGCUGGCGGCGUGCCUAACACAUGCAAGUCGAACGGGGUUAUAUUUUGGAAGUUUUCGGAUGGAAGAGAUAUAAUCUAGUGGCGAACGGGUGAGUAACGCGUGAGGAACCUGCCUCAAACAGGGGGAUAACACUUGGAAACAGGUGCUAAUACCGCAUAAGACCACAGAGCCGAGUGGCACAGGGGUCAAAGAUUUAUCGGUUUGAGAUGGACUCGCGUCUGAUUAGCUAGUUGGUGAGGUAACGGCCCACCAAGGCGACGAUCAGUAGCCGAGCUGAGAGGCUGAUCGGCCACACUGGGACUGAGACACGGCCCAG
rnacentral:rRNA from 1 species